rnacentral:rRNA from 1 species
CCUACGGACGGCAGCAGUAGGGAAUUUUGCGCAAUGGGGGAAACCCUGACGCAGCAACGCCGCGUGAUUGAUGAAGCCCCUCGGGGUGUAAAGAUCUGUCAGUGGGGACGCAACUUCACGGUACCCACAGAGGAAGCAUCUGCUAACUGCGUGCCAGCAGCCGCGGUAAUACGGGGGAUGCAAGCGUUGUCCGGAAUCAUUGGGCUUAAAGAGUUCGUAGGUGGGUCGUUAAGUCGCGUGGUAAAUGCAGAGGCUCAACCUCUGUUCGGCAGUGGAUACUGGCGGGCUUGAAUGCGAGAGAGGUAAAGGGAAUUCGUGGUGUAGCGGUGAAAUGCGUAGAUAUCGGGAAGAACAUCGGUGGCGAAGGCGCUUUACUGGGCCGUAAUUGACGCUGAGGAACGAAAGCCAGGGUAGCAAAUGGGAUUAGAUACCCUUGUAGUC